UUACAUGACUUGAAAAAUUGACCUACAAUCCCUCAACCCAUGUGCUCAAGCCCAGAUCUUCCUUAGCUGCUAUAUAUACUUUUUCAGUCCAGACAUAAACGGCAGACUGCGCCGUACUUGCUCAGCAGAGACCAGAGACAGGCACAGCACUAUACAUACGCAUAUAUAUAUACAUACAUCUAUACAUAUAUAUCUAUCUAUUCACAGUUUGUCUUGGUCCCUGUGCUACGCUUCACAAAAAGCACCACCACCCUUUUCGCCUUGCAGCUCAAGCCACCUCCCCACUUUUUCUCUUCCCCUAUAAAGUUGUUCUUCCUGCUUUUUGAGUCUUGUGAGAAAUGGGUGUUCUGGAUUUGUGGUUUGAUCCUCGGAUGGCGGGUUUGUGGGGUAAAAAGAAGUUGAGAAGCUUGUUUUGGAGGGUUCGAGCGGAGAUAAAGAGACAAACGAAGAGCAGGUCUAACCAAAGGUUCAGCUUUCAGUAUGAUCCUUUCACCUAUGCUCUCAACUUCGACAAUGGCAACUUUGGGUUUUUCUGCUGAUCAUCCUCCUUUCUCUUACUUCAUUUAUCUACCAAAACUCAACACUAGCUAGAAGAAGAAAAAAACCCAGUGUUCCUGUGUUUUCAUUUUGUUUUUGCCUUUCAUUUUUGUCCAUCUUCUGUUUAUUUUUCCCCUAUCUUGUGUUUGUGUAAUCUGCUUCUGAUCAUCUAGCUUUUUAUGGGGAAUAUAUAUAUAUUUAUUUAUAAUAUGUAUGUGUAUCUUUAGCUCGUGAUUAGCAUAUCAAUUCUACUCAAACUUACCUGCUCUGUUCUCUUAAUUGGUUUACUGGGUUUGAUUCAUAAUGCAACUUGAGAAUUCACUGGUUUUAAAGUAAUUAGAAAUUACCCAGUUGGUGAAAAAUUCAGAAAGAAAUUUGAAAAGGAGAGAAGCUGAAAUAGAGAGGUAAUAUUAAAAAUGGGUGUGCUGACCAAUUGAAAUGCAGUGGGUUGAAAAAGCUCUUUGACCCAAUUGUGUAUUAAGAUUGUGAGUUGUCAUUCUGCUUCUUCUUCUUGUUUUUGCUCUGUAAUGCCACUGAAAAUGUUUGGUUCAAAACCCAAAUCACUGCAAAAUCCAGUUUCUAUGGAUUUGAAGAUUUCAGUUUGAUUUUCUUUUUCUUCCUUUUCCCACUCUGAGUCCCAGAGACUAUAAAAAGUGAAUAUUAAUACCCUUCAGUCAUUUGUCAACAUCUUCUACUUCCCUCCACCAGAUUCCCUAAAAUCUGCCCAUUUUUAAAAAAAGAAAAAAAUGUUAGUCUUUCAAUUAUGUUCUUGUUAUUCUUUGUUUGAGUUUAUUACAUAUUGUAUCUAUAC
rnacentral:lncRNA from 1 species